AUUGAACGCUGGCGGGAUGCCUUACACAUGCAAGUCGAACGAGAGGCGGACGGGUGAGUAAUGAAUGGGAAACUGCCUGAGGGAUGGGGAUAAGAACGGGAAACGGUAGCUAAUACCGCAUACCAUCGGAGGUGACCAGAUGGGAUUAGCUAGUAGGGGGGGUAAAGGCUCACCUAGGCGACGAGCGCUAGCUGGUCUGAGAGGAUGACCAGCCACACUGGAACUGUGACACGUUCCAGACUCCUACGGGAGGCAGCAGUGGGGAAUAUUGGACAAUGGGGGAAAGCCUGAUGCAGCCAUGCCGCGUGUAUGCAGAAGGCCUUCGGGUUGUAAAGUACUUUCAGCAGGGAAGCGUUACCCGCAGAAGAAGCACCGGCUAACUCCGUGCCAGCAGCCGCGGUAAUUC
rnacentral:rRNA from 1 species